rnacentral:rRNA from 1 species
ACUCCUACGGGAGGCAGCAGUGGGGAAUCUUCCGCAAUGGACGAAAGUCUGACGGAGCAACGCCGCGUGUACGACGAAGGCCUUCGGGUUGUAAAGUACUGUCUUCAGGGACGAACGGUAGGUAUGAAAAUAUUGUAUGUACAUGACGGUACCUGAGGAGGAAGCCCCGGCUAACUACGUGCCAGCAGCCGCGGUAAUACGUAGGGGGCAAGCGUUGUCCGGAAUCAUUGGGCGUAAAGGGCACGUAGGCGGAUACUUAAGUCUGGUGUGAAAACCUAG